GUGUCAUUUCCUGAAAGGAUAUGUGUAAAAUACUCUUUGUAUUCAAGCGCUUUCGUGUAGAAAGUUUCGUAUGUAUACGCCGACUAGAAAUAUUUAUUCUGAAUUUUUCAAGGUAUCGGGUUUUACUAGCACGCGCUUGUAUUACGUAAUACUUGGCCAAUAAGGAGCUCCCUUUAGCCGGGAUGACGUAAAACUCACGCGUAUGGGUGCACUUUGACCUGUAGAAUCCAUUUCUGGCAUUUCCAGAGUCACGCGAUACAAACUACGCAUUGUUUUGACGGUUUUUCGUCGUAUUUCCGGUUUGGGAUUAACGCAAAUUCGGGCAGAAAUGCAAAAUUCGGCAAGAAAACUCACGUUUUAAAGAUAGAAGCUUGAAAAUAACACUAUACGUGUUAUUUUUAACUGCUUCAUUCAUCAAGAAUACAAGAAUGAGCAUACGUCUCAAGGGGCCGAAGUUAUGUUCGGCGAAAGGUAUGUCUAUGUUUAUAAUUUGUUAGUAAUAUUGCGUAAUUUGAUCAUAUAUAAGCCCGUUUGACUUUCAAAGCUUAUAAAUCGCUACAAUGUAGCCAUUGACUAAAACUAUCGUUAUAAACUAGUAUACAUUUUUACACUGAAUCGAAUGGUGGUAUUUUCAUCUACAUAACGUUUACUGAACCGAAGAUACGAAUGAAACAGACUUAGUACGUGCACAUACUAAGUUUAAUGGCCGUGCUUUAAAAGAGUUAAAACGAAAUGCCUAUAGAAUCGAUUUUAAAUACAAAUAUAUUGAUACGUGAUAGAGCUUGGAUUCGAUUUUUUGGAUCAGAAAUCCUCAGAAAACUUAUAUUUUGUCCCCCAAGGGUGGGGCAUUUGCGUCAAUAUAAGUCCCCAAGGGUGGGGAUUUUGUUGCAUUAUUUGGACCGCAUACUGGGGCAUUUGCAACGUUUUUUCGCCAAAAUGACAAAAGCCCGACAAACGCCCGGGGGGGUGUUGGGCACCCAUGGAAUUGAUUGAGACAUUACCACUGGCACUGCGUCGCAACUGUUGCGACGCAACACCCAUAAGUUUAGUCAAACUGCUGAUGUUUUGCAUUGUUUUACAAACACUUUAUCUACAAAUGUUCAUUCUUACAUCCAAAUGAUGACACAUUAUCAGUCCAUGCAAUCUUAGUAUUCUAAUUGUAUCUAAUCAGCCAUUAGUAAUCCAAGUCGAGUGUACAAUUCUAACUUUCAAAAUAUGACUUGCCUCGAAUAAAUCCAGUAAAGAAAAGACCACAAAAGUCACUCAGAAACAUUGCACAUAUCUAAGACAUCAAAACCAGUGAUGAAAUCAAAAGGAAAAUCAGUAACCAUAAAGUUGUCUUUAAAAAGUAUUCAAUUCAUACAUCCAAUGUUUGCUCCUCGGAUAAUUGUCCAAAGUUUCAAUUUACAAUGCCAUUCAUUUUCUCCAUUACAUAUUCAAGCAAUCAAAUUAAUUUUCGUCGUAUUUUUUCUAAAAUUACCCUUGUCUUUAUUUUAAAUAGGUCGUGUUUGGAAUCGUCUUGUGAUGUGUUUAAAUUAUACUCCCUCUUUCCGCCUUGCAUAAGCGCCGAGACACGCACAAAUACCCAUAAUUCCGAUCACUAAGCCAAGUAUUAAUGCGAUAGCAUCCCCAGCAUCAAAAGCAGCCACAGGUUGCGUUAAAAAAAGUAAUAUUACAGCGAAAAGAACAGAAAAAUUCCACCCUACAGAAGCCAUUUUGUUGCAACUUUGUGAACAUGAGUUUGUCAUGUGAUCGCAUCAUGACAUCAUCGUGAUGUAGUCAU